rnacentral:lncRNA from 1 species
AAGAGAGCUGGGUAGGUAGUGGGCCAGAGGAGCUUGAUUAGAGCCAGUGUGGGAGGGAGAGGGUACACAGGAGCCUGCACAAGUGGCCAGAAGGGAGCCCUCUGUCACCCUGAAAUGGCUCAGCUCAUGACCAAAGAAGCAGAGGCUCAGACAGGUCAGGAUGCUUGCCCAAAGCAGGAAAUGCUGGCUCAGGGAUCCAAAGCAAGGAAUCAUGGAGACUUGAAGACUUGUUUUUAGAAACUCAGCAUGGCAUCUCUUCCCCAGAACGACUCUUGGGCUCCGUGUCUGCAGGUCUGUGAGCCUCCUUCCCCACCCGUGUCUGUCACCAUUCUUGGCUUGUUUCCCUCAGACUGGCCUCUGCUCUGCUCCCAUGGAGGUGUGCCUGCUCCUUCUCCUUCCUACUCUGUCCUUGCUGGCCACUAGAGUAGGAAGGCCACUAGACUCUGUCACCCAGGUUAGGUUGUACUGUGGAGCACAUUUGAGUAUGCAUGUUUUUACAGGAGAUGAGCACAGUUCCUUACCUCCUCUUCUUUCUUAAAAGAAAGAAAAAUACAAACACCAGAAGAAACCUCUCUUCCUAGAUGGUGCAGAUCUGAGCCUUUCCACAAUAGCAGAGCAGUAGGGGCUUUGGAGGGAGCUGCCCAAGCUGUCUCCACCUCAGACCAAGGCUGUCAGAGGAGGUGGGGUUAAUCUCCUGAAGCUCUCUCCCCAGAGAGAAGGCCCUGGUGUGUGGCCAGUGAAUUUCUCAAGGCCCGAAACUGCUUCCCAGAACCAGCCCGUUUUUCCUGCCUGUCCUGUUUGGGCAGUUGGAGGAGGCAGCCAGGAACCCAACCUGCAGGAGGGGGAGAGGGAGGAGAUGGAGGAAGGGGAGGAGGGAGAGGAGACAAACUGAGACCCAGGCCUGGCUGUGAAGGGGUCUGCUUCCCUGCAUCAUCUUUGGAGGCUGGUGACCAUCACUGCUGCCUGUGCAUGGGGCAGAGAUGCAGGCCAGUGGGGCAGAGAAGAGGGUGGAAGGCCACAGUUCUGGUGCUUUGAGCUGAUGGCUCAGCAUUAGCCCCAGAUGCUUCUUCUGCAGGGUCUCAGAGUCUCCUUUUCCUUGAAUGCUCCUUCUUGAGGUGCCCUCAGUUCCCACCUCGGACCUUCAGUCAGGGUGCCCUGGGCUCACCUCCUUGAGCAGUCUCCCCAACACUGAAGCUGUUUCUCCACCAACAGUUUGGAACUCCUUACCUGGCAGUCUCCAUAUGGACCCAGUGGCAUCUCAUGUGUGUUACGUCCAAAGUGGACCCCAUUCUCCUGAAAACUGCAUCUUCCUGUCCUAGUAGCAUCAUGCUCAACUGGGCUCUUUCUCACAAACCUCAAUCCCGUCUUGAUUUCCUGAUGGUGCCACUUUCACAAUACAUUCCAGAUGCCCGUUCCUCUGCACACUGCACCCAGAGCUCCAAGCUCCUAAAUAGGAGCUCCUGCAGGUCCCUGCGUGCUGCCACAAUGCAGGUGGACAAGGAAGGAGCAGCAGCAGCAGGCUGAGACGGAGUUCAGGGCAAUCAUCAGUGUGCACUGGGAGUGCUAGGCUUGUCCCACUCCUGCUUGUUAGGGACCGUGAGCCCACUUCUCAGGAGACACUGGCUUGGGUACAGGAGGUAACUUGACUGAGAUCCUGGGCCUCUUCACAGCCCUGGUCGUCUGGGUCUAGUUUCCACCCUCAGAGCGCUUCACAAAGCUUCCCACUGUAGUGUGAAGCCUUUCCUUGGAGAAGCUAACCCAAACCAAACUGAUCACAGAGUUAAUUUGUGCCCCACAAGGGAGGAUGUGCUGGGAUUCUGAGUGUUGCUUUUGACUUUGCUGCCACCCAGCGCUUACACAGAGAAACUGCCACAUAGUGUCCUUCAGCCCAGCUGUGUGUUUUGAGUCAAAUGAUCCUUUCAGAAUCUGCUUAAUGUGGAGGGCUGUGUUGCUGCUGAGGCCCUAGGUGUGGGAGGCCACUGGGUGGGUCAGAGGUUACACAGGAGAACCCCAAUGUUAGUGGAUAGCCAGCCCCAGACUAGAGCCGCUGCAGCUGCAUGAGGAGAAGCUGUUCCCUGGGUGGGAGUGAGCCUGAAGACUGGCCGUUUAGAGAGCACAGUGACAGCUGGCCCCAGCAGGGACAGUGGUGUCCCUAACUGCUUUGGAGCUGGGGGGCUCAGGGCUCAACUUACCUGAUCUUGUGGGGAGAGAGUGGGUGCAGAGCCCCACAUUCCUAGGCUCAGCCUUUGCCUCUGGGCUAAGGGUGGGGAGGCUAAGCCCAGCACUAUGACUUGGGAAGUCCAAGAACAGGAAUAUCCCCACCCACUUUGGGGCUGACACCUGCCAGCAGCAGAGUGGACAGUGACUUCAGUGACCUGCACACAGCUUAGGUGCCCUGGGUGCCUCUGUUCUUUAAGCCUUCAAAAUGGACUCACCCCCAAAGGUCUGGUGAGUUUUACAUUUUUACAGGUUUUGGGGAGACAAUGGAACCCCGUUGAACAUCCACUUCUAAGCAGAUCUUGCUUCUCCCCCAAUUCCUCUUCCAGCAGCAGCUUCCGCAUGACAAUUCUAGAAUGCCUUUUUUUUGGUAUAAAUCAGCAAACCAGUUCUAAAGUUUAUACGGAAAUGUAGAAGACCAGGAAAUGGCCCUUGAAAAAGGCGCACACAAGGAGAAGAUACUUGAUAUUGAGAUGCAUUGUGAAGCUUCCUUGGCUGAGACAGCACGGCAUUGUCGAUGCAGAGAGAAACAGAGCAGGGGUCAAAUCUGGCCUCCUUUUGUUUUUGAAUGGCCUCUGAG